GGUUCCUGAUUUGUGGAAGCCUGUAGGCUGCCUCUCCAGCUACUUUAAAUUGUAUCUUUCUCAAAUUGGUUUAGAGUAGAACUAAUCAGGGAACUAACAGAGUUCCCUUUAUCACCUUAGACAAGAGGACAGGGUUGUCCAACCCUCCUCUUUCAGUCAGAGGCAGUGACGCUUUUCAGACUUCUCAUGCUGAAUUCUAGUUCAGGACACUUGGCACAGUUUUUCGAAGGAUUUUCACUGCAACCUUUUUAUCGGUCUGUAUAACAUUUGUGGUGAGAACAGCACUCGUACCUUCUGAUUCCCAGGGGAGUCAUCAGGGUAAGAGAAGCACUGAAUCAGGAAGGGCUCUGGGUUCUUGACAGGUGAGCUUGACAAAGUGCUGAGCACGUGGUGGUCUGUGUUGGCUGGAGCUGCCUUUGCGAGCCUCACCUUCAAGUCUGCCCACCGAGAGCAGCCAGGCUAGGGUUCCCAGAAUCAUGACCCUGGGGAGGAGGCCAGGGCAGAAGUGUCCCACAUCUGUCCUCC
rnacentral:lncRNA from 1 species